rnacentral:rRNA from 1 species
ACUUAGAAUGAAAAUUCCUUUGGGCCCGAUCCCGUCUGAUCUCAGAAGCUAAGCAGAGUCGGGCCUGGUUAGUACUUGGAUGGGAGACCACCUAGGAAGACCAGGUGCUAUAGGCA